rnacentral:rRNA from 1 species
CCUACGGGAGGCAGCAGUGGGGAAUCUUGCGCAAUGGGCGAAAGCCUGACGCAGCCAUGCCGCGUGAAUGAUGAAGGUCUUAGGAUUGUAAAAUUCUUUCACCGGGGACGAUAAUGACGGUACCCGGAGAAGAAGCCCCGGCUAACUUCGUGCCAGCAGCCGCGGUAAUACGAAGGGGGCUAGCGUUGCUCGGAAUUACUGGGCGUAAAGGGAGCGUAGGCGGAUAGUUUAGUCAGAGGUGAAAGCCCAGGGCUCAACCUUGGAAUUGCCUUUGAUACUGGCUAUCUUGAGUAUGGGAGAGGUAUGCGGAACUCCGAGUGUAGAGGUGAAAUUCGUAGAUAUUCGGAAGAACACCAGUGGCGAAGGCGGCAUACUGGCCCAUUACUGACGCUGAGGCUCGAAAGCGUGGGGAGCAAACAGGAUUAGAUACCCUGGUAGUCCACGCUGUAAACGAUGAGUGCUAGUUGUCGGCAUGCAUGCAUGUCGGUGACGCAGCUACGACAUAAGACACUCCGCCGUCGGGAGGUACGGUCGCGAGAAUUAAACUACAAUAGUAAGUUAGUACGGCGUGAGACGUGACCGACGGACGACGACGAGGGAGGAGGG